UUCGCCUGUUUUUCAAAAACAUCGCCUCUUGAAUCCCUAUAAGAGGUCCAGCCUGCCCAGUGACUUUGUUCAACGGCCGCGGUAUCCUAACCGUGCGAAGGUAGCGUAAUCACUUGUCUUUUAAAUGAGGACUUGUAUGAAUGGCAUCACGAGGGUUAUACUGUCUCCUUUCUCUAAUCAGUGAAACUAAUCUUCCCGUGAAGAAGCGGGAAUAAAUAUAUAAGACGAGAAGACCCUAUGGAGCUUUAAACUCAAUAACAAAUACUAACCUUACUUUAACUUCCAGAAUAUUGACACUAAUCCUAGUAUUAUGAUUAUUAGUUUUAGGUUGGGGUGACCGCGGAGUAAAAAUUAACCUCCACAUUGAACAGAACCUUUCCUUGAGCUAAGAACUACAACUCUAAGCACCAACAAAUUGACAUUAAUUGACCCAAUACUUUGAUCAACGAACCAAGUUACCCUAGGGAUAACAGCGCAAUCCACUUCAAGAGCUCCUAUCGACAAGUGGGUUUACGACCUCGAUGUUGGAUCAGGGUAUCCCAGUGGUGCAGCCGCUACUAAAGGUUCGUUUGUUCAACGAUUAAAACCCUACGUGAUCUGAGUCCAGACCGGAA
rnacentral:rRNA from 1 species